rnacentral:ncRNA from 1 species
GUAAAGUUUUAUUUUUACUUAAAAAUUUAGUGUAAUUUUAAUUUAAAUGUAAAUUUUAGUAUUUUUCUUAUUUUUUAAUAAAAUAAUAAUUUUAUUGCAAUAAAUAGUUUUAAAUAUUAAAGUAAUUUAGAUUUAGUAAUAAAAUAAGUAUUAACUUAAUUUGUGCCAGCAGUUGCGGUUAUACAAAUAAUACAAUUAAAUUAAUUUAGUUUUAAUUAAUUGAUAAUUUUAAAUUUAAAUUAUGAAUUUAAUAAGUGAAAUUUUAAAUUUUAAAAAGAUUUAUAUUUGUUAAUGAUUUAAGAAAUUUUAUAUAUAAACUAGGAUUAGAUACCCUAUUAUUUAAAAUGUAAUUUUAUAAACUAAAUUAGUAUAAGAUAUGUUCUUUAAAAUUAAAGAUUUUGGCGGUAUUUUAGUCUAUUCAGAGGAACCUGUUCUGUAAUUGAUAGUCCACGAUUUAAUUUACUUAUUUUAUUAAUUUACAUAUCGUCGUAGUUUGAAUAUUUUAUUAGAAUUUUAAUAUUCAAGAUUUAUUAUAAUAAAAAAAAUCAGAUCAAGGUGUAGUUUAUAAAUAAGAAGAAAUGGGUUACUAUAAUAAAAAUUUAGGAUUAUUAUUUUUAAAAUAGCUUGAAUAUGGAUUUGAAAGUAAUUUUAAUUAAUUAAUUAAAAUGAUUUUAGCUCUAAAAUAUGUACAUAUCGCCCGUCGCUUUCAUUAUAAUGUGAAAUAAGUCGUAACAAAGUAGAUUUACUGGAAAGUGAAUCUAGAGGCAG